GCAAAUAUAGUUUAACACAAAACAUUAGACUGUGAAUCUAAAAAUAGGAAUUCAGAACUCCUUAUAUGCC
rnacentral:tRNA from 1 species